rnacentral:rRNA from 1 species
AGCGAACGCUGGCGGCAGGCCUAACACAUGCAAGUCGAACGAACCCUUCGGGGUUAGUGGCGGACGGGUGAGUAACACGUGGGAACGUGCCUUUAGGUUCGGAACAACUCAGGGAAACUGGUGCUAAUACCGAAUGUGCCCUUCGGGGGAAAGAUUUAUCGCCUUUAGAGCGGCCCGCGUCUGAUUAGCUAGUUGGUGACGUAAUGGCUCACCAAGGCUACGAUCAGUAGCUGGUCUGAGAGGAUGACCAGCCACAUUGGGACUGAGACACGGCCCAAACUCCUACGGGAGGCAGCAGUGGGGAAUCUUGCGCAAUGGGCGAAAGCCUGACGCAGCCAUGCCGCGUGGAUGAUGAAGGUCUUAGGAUUGUAAAAUCCUUUCACCGGUGAAGAUAAUGACUGUAGCCGGAGAAGAAGCCCCGGCUAACUUCGUGCCAGCCGCCGCAGUAACAC